rnacentral:rRNA from 1 species
GACGAACGCUGGCGGCGUGCUUAACACAUGCAAGUCGAGCGGAAAGGCCACUUCGGUGGUACUCGAGCGGCGAACGGGUGAGUAACACGUGAGUAAUCUGCCCCUCACUUUGGGAUAGCCACCGGAAACGGUGAUUAAUACCGGAUAUGACCAUAUGUCGCAUGGUGUGUGGUGGAAAGUUUUUCGGUGAGGGAUGUGCUCGCGGCCUAUCAGCUUGAUGGUGAGGUAAUGGCUCACCAUGGCUUCGACGGGUAGCCGGCCUGAGAGGGUGACCGGUCACACUGGGACUGAGACACGGCCCAGACUCCUACGGGAGGCAGCAGUGGGGAAUAUUGGACAAUGGGCGGAAGCCUGAUCCAGCAACGCCGCGUGAGGGAUGACGGCCUUCGGGUUGUAAACCUCUUUCAGUACCGACGAAGCGCAAGUGACGGUAGGUACAGAAGAAGCACCGGCCAACUACGUG